rnacentral:rRNA from 1 species
UGGGUUUGACAUCCUUUGACAGUCCCGGAAACGGGAUCUUUCCGACUUUGUCGGAACAGAGUGACAGGUGCUGCAUGGCUGUCGUCAGCUCGUGUCGUGAGAUGUUGGGUUAAGUCCCGCAACGAGCGUAACCCUUGUCUUUAGUUGCCAGUAUUUAGUUAGGCACUCUAAAGAGACUGCCUCGGUUAACGGGGAGGAAGGUGGGGAUGACGUCAAGUCCUCAUGGCCUUUAUACCCAGGGCUACACACGUGCUACAAUGGGCUGUACAAAGGGUAGCUAAUUCGCGAGGAAGCGCUAAUCCCAAAAAGCAGCUCUGGAGUUCGGAUUGGAGUCUGCAACUCGACUCCAUGAAGG